CCAGACUCCUACGGGAGGCAGCAGUAGGGAAUCUUCGGCAAUGGGGGGAACCCUGACCGAGCAACGCCGCGUGAGUGAAGAAGGUUUUCGGAUCGUAAAGCUCUGUUGUAAGAGAAGAACGGGUGUGAGAGUGGAAAGUUCACACUGUGACGGUAUUUUACCAGAAAGGGACGGCUAACUACGUGCCAGCAGCCGCGGUAAUACGUAGGUCCCGAGCGUUGUCCGGAUUUAUUGGGCGUAAAGCGAGCGCAGGCGGUUAGAUAAGUCUGAAGUUAAAGGCUGUGGCUUAACCAUAGUAUGCUUUGGAAACUGUUUAACUUGAGUGCAGAAGGGGAGAGUGGAAUUCCAUGUGUAGCGGUGAAAUGCGUAGAUAUAUGGAGGAACACCGGUGGCGAAAGCGGCUCUCUGGUCUGUAACUGACGCUGAGGCUCGAAAGCGUGGGGAGCAAACAGGAUUAGAUACCCUGGUAGUCCACGCCGUAAACGAUGAGUGUUAGGUGUUAGGCCCUUUCCGGGGCUUAGUGCCGCAGCUAACGCAUUAAGCA
rnacentral:rRNA from 1 species